rnacentral:lncRNA from 1 species
CUUGCCUUGCCCAGAGUUCAGAGGGAGAGAGUAUUCAGGGUGGAAGGGAUUGUGUGUGUGUGUGUGUGUGUGUGUGUGUGUGUGUGUGUGUGUGUGCGCGUAAUCUUUUUUUUUUUUUUUUUAAAAACAUGGUCUCACUCUGUAGUCCUGGCUGAACUCACCUGGAAUUACGAUGACCAGGCUGGUCUUGAAUUCACAGAGAUCCUUUCACAUGCUGGGAUUCAAGGUGUGGAGCACCAGCCCGGCUGAAGGUGGAAACAUUGCCAGCAAGCAGGAAGACACUGAAAUCUGAAAUGGCCCGAGUGUUGGUCCCCAGCACGGAAAAGAAGGGAAGGGAGAAGCAGAAGGAAUAAAGAGAACGAGUUGUGGAGAUGAUUGCAGACACCGGACGGAGCAGGAUGCAGCGGCUGGCCGAGGCUUAGAUAAGCUGCUUACUCAGCCGUCUGUGAAUGCUUUCUGUGUGAAACACUGGCAUGGGGAGGCCUUGUGUGCUUGAACAGAUACAGUUCAAGGGUGAAACAUGGCAGACCCUAUGGAUUGGACCUCUCGUUUUGUUUUUAAACUUACACAUUUGUGAGCAUCUCCUGGAAACUUCAGCUUGUUUGCUCAGCGUUCUUUGUGUCUAGAGGAGGCCGUGUGACAGUGCUCUGGUGAGUGACGCAGUGAAAACUGUUAUGGCUUAAGAAGCUCCAUUUUAUGCCAGGCAUCCGUCUUGGUACCCACCAGCCAUUUGUCUCUGACUCCAGUCCCUGGAAUAAGUUCCUAGUAACCCUGACUCAGUGACCCCCACCCAAAAAUGAAUAGCCGUGACUAUCUACUUGUCAUACGACUAACGGUGAUUUUUUUUUCCUUCUGUGACUUGCUUAUACAGAUACCCAAGGGUUGUUUUUGAGUUGAUUUAACCUCUUAACUUGGCAGAACAGGCUAGUUUUUGCUUGCUUGUGUAGAUACUGAAGGUCUUCUUGCAGUUUUUGGCUUUUAAAAGCCUUCCUCAACCCCUUUCUCACAGCAAUCUCAAAUUUGGCUCAGAGACAGUUCAUCCAGCUAGCAGCUAAUCAAUAAAUCCUUUAGUUACAAUAGGAUGGAGCCCAUGCUCCAGGGAAGUUUCUAGGAAACUCUAUGUUGGCGAAAUGACAGCUGAUAUUGUUGACCCUUCUUUUCUCUUCCUUGAAUUUGGGUAUAAUUUCUGGAGCCAUUGACUGUUCCUGCAACCAUGGAGAAAUGCCCGGAACCAAUGCCAGCAGCUGCCUACCACUUCUGCAGGGUAAUAAGAAAGCCAAAACCUAUGCUUAAGCCACUGCUAGUUGAAUUUUUCUGUUGUUUGCAGGGAGAGCACUCCUAACAUAUAUGUUCUUGCAAAAUGCAGAUGGUUCUUAUUUCAUAAUGUUUUAUGAGGAUUAAAUACACAGAACAUCUAACAGUUACCUGAAUAGGCCAUUUUCAUAGCUCUUUGUCCAUCAUCCUACCUCCUGGAUCAACUUAGCUAUGUUUUAGAGGGAAACUGCAGUUGGAUCUUGUCUGGCAGGCCACACUCAAGUGCAGUGUUCUGAUUAGCAAAGUGUUAAUUUUAUAUACAGUGACAUAGAGUUAGGAUUACAUCUUCUGGUUGGUCUCAUACUCCAAUUUGUCAUGUUGACUUUUUGUGUGGCUCUCUUUCUGCAGAAAAGUCACUGCUCCAGCAUCUUCUUGGAGAGGGUGUAAUUAUGCUGAGCCCGUUUAAUUAUUUCCCUCUGGACCCAUUAAGUACCUUUUGCCUACCCAGAAACUCCCUUGUCAGUUUUCUACAAGCUCAAAAGGCCUGGCAUUAUUUGCUGUUUGUCUUUGUUAAUUUAGCUGCAGCCUAAAGCAGGACUGGGUACAUCCAGAAUGUAAGACUGCUAUCAGCAAACAUGGGUAUGACUGGAGAGACCUGCAUGGAAAUUCUUCCCCUGCAUGUGAACUUGAUUCUGGCGUUGCCCAUUUAUCUUAUAUUUGAGUUAUUUUUGGUCUUACAUGGUCUCUAUAAAAAUGCAUGCAUGCCUGACAGACUUCUAAGCUUGCUAGUACCUGGCUGAGUUAUGACAAUGUAGUGGAAAGUAGUUAAUAAAAAGAGAAAAUGUUAAAUGCGACUGGAACCUGCCUCUACAGGAAGAUGGGAAGGACCCUGAAAAGGAUGGAUGGGGACUUACUUUGUCCAUAUAAUUGUUUGGGACUUAAAAUAUGUAUCAAGCAGCCGGGAAUUGGUGGCACAGCCUUUAAUCCCAGUACUCAGGAGGCAAAGGCAGGCAGAUCUCUGUGAGUUGGAUUAUUUUUCUUACUGUGUGCCUAUUGUCUCUCUCAGAUGCCAUGAACACUCAUACCUCAGAGAUACUGCAGGCUUAGUUCCAGACCAUUCUGCUUCAAGAAAGUGUAUAUUGCAGGAAAGCAAGUCUCACAACUUGUUUUGGCUUUCAGUACGUAUACAAGUUGUGCUGUGUGUUACAGGAAUAAUAGCAUUGUGUGUCAAAUAACAUUGUAUAUGUCUCAAUUAAAAUAUUCUUUACUAAGAACUUGUUAACUAUUACCUCUGCCUUCAGCGAGUGAUGGUAUUUUUGCUGGUGGAAGUUUUGCCUUGAUGUUGAUAGCCUGACUGAACCAGCUUGUGAUGUUCAAUAG